GAGGUUAGAAUCACACUAAGGGGUUGGAAAAAUCUAGCCCACUAACCAAGAGUCAUUCACAUGCAGCUAACUGCCUUGAUACAUAAUAUCAAAAGAGGGACAUAAGCCACAAAUAAUAAAGCCCUUAACAGACUAUACACCUAUGUCCUAUAUAGGAAAGGAACCUCGUCAAAAACUGUCCCUUAAGCUAAACAAAAGAUCCAGACUCGGUAAGGACCAAAAAUGAACAAAUGAAUCCAUACGGAGUCUAUCACCUAAAUACGGCUCCUAUAAAUCAAACUCCAUCACCAAAAUAGUCCAGUGACAUUUUUUGCCCUUAGUGAUAUUAAAAGAAACGUGUGUUUUAGCAAUUCGAAUUGUGCCUUCACCUGGGGCUAAGGUCCUUGCUGAGCCGGGUAAUAUUUCUUGCUGCAUAUGAGGGACUCUGUGGUUAGUGGGC